rnacentral:rRNA from 1 species
CCCUGCCAUUUGUACACACCGCCCGUCGCUACUACCGAUUGAAUGGCUUAGUGAGACCUCCGGAUUGACGUUCCAUCGCUGGCAACAGCAUAGGAUUGUUGAAAAGUUGGUCAAACUUGGUCAUUUAGAGGAAGUAAAAGUCGUAACAAGGU